GUCCGAUCAGGUUGUUGGCGGGGUAACGGCCCACCAAGCCUAUAACCGGUACGGGCCCUGAGAGGGGGAGCCCGGAGAUGGAAACUGAGACAAAGUUCCAGGCCCUACGGGGCGCAGCAGGCGCGAAAACUCCACAAUGCGCGAAAGCGUGAUGGGGUCAUCCCGAGUGCCGUCCGAUGAGGAUGGCUUUUCCUUGGCGUAAGGACCCGAGGGAAUAAAGGGGGGGCAAGACUGGUGUCAGCCGCCGCGGUAAUACCAGCCCCCUGAGUAGUAAGGACGAUUAUUUGGCCUAAAGCGUCCGUAGCCGGCUUAGUAAGUCUCUCGUCAAAUCCAAUGAUUCAAUCAUUGAGUCGCAAGAGAUACUGCUAGGCUUGAGGACGGGAGAGGUCGACGGUAGUCCAGGGGUAGGGGUGAAAUCCUAUAAUCCCUGGAGGACCACCAGUGGCGAAGGCGGUCGACUAGAACGCGCCUGACGGUGAUGGACGAAAGCUGGGGGAGCGAAUCGGAUUAGAUACCCGAGUAGUCCCAGCUGUAAACGAUGCAGGCUGGGUGUUGGGGUAGCUACGAGCUACUCCAGUGCCGCAGAGAAGUUGUUAAGCCUGUCGCCUGGGGAGUACGGCCGCAAGGCUGAAAC
rnacentral:rRNA from 1 species